GGGCAUAUAGUUAAGUGGUAUAACGCCGCAUUCGCAAUGCGGAGGCCGCGGGUUCAAUUCCCGCUAUGUCCACCA
rnacentral:tRNA from 2 species